rnacentral:ncRNA from 1 species
CAUGGCGACGUGGAAUCUGAAGGAAGCGAGCGGCAAACCUCCGGUCUGAGGAACACGAACUUCAUAUAAGGCUGUGUAUGAUUGGGUGAGUUUGCUUAACAAAACAAAGCCCUUUCUGCCGAAGGUCAUAUGCAGUAAAUGAAGCAGAUAGGUGGAGGGAAAGACU